ACACUGCACGACAGUGCGAUAGGGGGAUUCCGAGUGCGAGGGCAUACAGUCCUCGCUUUUCUGGACCGUAAGGAGGUCCAAGAAUAAGGGCUGGGCAAGACCGGUGCCAGCCGCCGCGGUAAUACCGGCAGCCCGAGUGAUGGCCGAUAUUAUUGGGCCUAAAGCGUCCGUAGCUGGCCAGACAAGUCCGUUGGGAAAUCCACGCGCUCAACGCGUGGGCGUCCAGCGGAAACUGCCUGGCUUGGGGCCGGAGGACUCGAGGGGUACGUCCGGGGUAGGAGUGAAAUCCCGUAAUCCUGGACGGACCACCGGUGGCGAAAGCGCCUCGAGAGGACGGACCCGACAGUGAGGGACGAAAGCCAGGGUCUCGAAC
rnacentral:rRNA from 1 species